GUCAUAUGGGAGGUUACCUGUGCAUCCCUGAUAUGUGGGGAGCUUCUGUUAUACUUAGUAGCCCUCUGCCAUCUGCAGGUGCGGUGUUCGGGGUUAUUUGCGUGUGCUUUGGGGUCUUACUGUUUACCGGGAGUCGAGUGAUCCCGUGUCGCAAACCUGUCUGUGCGUCCGGCUGAUUAAAGGUGUCCGUCCUGGAUUACUC